AUACGAGACCUACAAUAUCGUACACCUAGAAUCAUUUUUGUUAUUAAUUCCCAACAAUAUUGUUUAAUCGAAAUUUCGUAAGAAAUCAAUAAUCCAAAAGGAAAGCGAACUGAAGCUCUCGCAGAUAUGCCCAUCCACAUUCGAGAAAAGAUUGAACGGUGUCUAAAUGUGCAUGUACCUGGUGGAAGUAACUGGCAGAGUUUCGCCGAGCAUUUUAAGAUCAGAAAAGACGUUAUCCGUUACUGGGAUAGCAGAAAUGAUGAAGUGCCAUCCUAUAAUGCAUCGGGACAAAUGUUUGCGAACCUGAAAGCCGAACAACCACAGCUGACGGUUGAUGAUCUGUGGAAAGUUUCCAAAAAUAAAAACCGUAAUGACGUUGUCAGGAUUAUUGACGAACAUUAUUAGAUAUAGGUAGAGAUAUAGGUUUCAUUGCAACGCUACUUCAAACAUAAAUAUUCAGAAAAAAAAUAGUUGCUUAUUUUGUAUCAGCAAGUAAUUCACUUUCAACUAAAUUUUGUAAAAAAAUCUUGCAAUUUUAGGGACGUUUUGAAACAUACGGGUUUCGGUCUGCUGCCACCUGGCCAUGCCCAGUCAAUUGCCACCUUUAGCAGGGCCGUCGGAACCGAACAGGCGGCCCGCGCUGACUUUGGCCGGACCACUUUUUAUGAUAUUAUUUUUUGAGUUAAUAUAUACGGAUACUUAUCAAGGUCAUCACCAUCAUUACCGUCAUUGUCAUCUCAUCAUCACCAUCUCAUCAUCAGAAUUAUUUCAUAUUUUUUCUGGGCAUCCAGGUAAACCAGGUUUCCACGGUAGCACUGGGCCCCUUUAAAACUAAGAACCUUUUCACAAAACAGUUGGAUCGUAUUAGGUAGGGCCUGUAUGUCUUUAUCACUUGGUAGAUUUGUCCAGUAGAGUAUACCUACAUGGUCUGUUUGUCAUAAAUAAACCAAGAAUUAACCACAAUUAAAUUUUACUCGGUGUAAGGCCUAGCAGAAGCGAACAAAAAAAAUAUAUAUUACCUAUUUAAUAAAUAAUUUUAACAAUUAAAA